rnacentral:rRNA from 1 species
GACGAACGCUGGCGGCGUGCUUAACACAUGCAAGUCGAACGGAAAGGCCUGCUUUCCCUUGUGGAUUGCGGGUACUCGAGUGGCGAACGGGUGAGUAACACGUGAGUGAUCUGCCCCCAACUUGGGUAUAAGCCUGGGAAACUGGGUCUAAUUCCCGAUAGGACUGCAGGGUGGUGCCUGUGGUGGCAAACGAUUUUCUAGUGGUUGGGGAUGAGCUCGCGGCCUAUCAGCUUGUUGGUGGGGUAAUGGCCUACCAAGGCGGCGACGGGUAGCCGGCCUGAGAGGGUGGACGGCCACAUUGGGACUGAGAUACGGCCCAGACGCCUACGGGAGGCAGCAGUGGGGAAUAUUGCACAAUGGGCGGAAGCCUGAUGCAGCGACGCCGCGUGGGGGAUGACGGCCUUCGGGUUGUAAACUCCUUUCGACCGCGAGGAAGCCACCUGGUUGGAAGGGUGGUGACGGUAGUGGUAGAAGAAGCACCGGCUAACUACGUG